GAAUUUUGUCAACGAAUGUGUAAUCGUUCCAUGUUUCGCGCACCAAUAUAGUAAACGUUAUGUAAUGGAUAUUAUAGUGUACUGAAAAGUUAACUGGAUACCUCCAUACACAUAUAUACACACCCUAACCUUAAACCUAACCCCUAACCUAACCCUAACCUAAUACCUAACCCCUAACCCUAAACUAUAUUGGUGCGCGAAACAUGGAACGAUAACCAACGAAUGGAAGUUCAACGUUUAAUGGGACUUGGCGCAAAAGUUGAUUGACACCAAACAAGAUAAACUGAGUUUUAUCUGGAUUUAUUUAGAGUUGGUUUGUACUACACCAUCCCGUAACUUUAUUCAAGUCCUCCUUCAAUCUAACAAGACCAUCAUUCAGUUCUUUCAAUAGGAAAAAGAGACAGAGUUUAGUAUCGUCGACGUAGGAUUUAACAGAUGCAUUAGUGGUUACGGAGCAAAGUUCAUUAGUGUAGAUAUUAAACAAGAGAGGGCCCAAAAUAGAGCCCUGGGGUACUCUGUAUUUCACUGGAAGAGGCUCGGUCAGAUCAGAUUCUAUUCUCACUUGUUGCGCCACUCCCUGUCGG